UACGAGUGCCCCAAGCGUUAUCCGGAAUUAUUGGGCGUAAAGGGUGUGUAGGCGGUCGGGUUAGUCUCCUGUGAAAUUCUUCGGCUCAACCGGGGGUCCGCAGGGGAAACGGCACGACUAGAGGAUGCGAGAGGUGAAUGGAACUCAUGGAGUAGGGGUGAAAUCCGUUGAUAUCAUGGGGAACACCGAAUGCGAAGGCAGUUCACUGGCGCACUCCUGACGCUGAGACACGAAAGCGUAGGUAGCGAAUGGG
rnacentral:rRNA from 1 species